UUCCUCCGCUUAUUGAUAUGCUCCGCAGGUUCACCUACGGACAGAAUUCAGUGAAUCAUCGAAUCUUUGAACGCACAUUGCGCCCUUUGGUAUUCCAAAGGGCAUGCCUGUUCGAGCGUCAUUUGUACCCUCAAGCUUUGCUUGGUGUUGGGCGUCUUGUCUCUAGCUUUGCUGGAGACUCGCCUUAAAGUAAUUGGCAGCCGGCCUACUGGUUUCGGAGCGCAGCACAAGUCGCACUCUCUAUCAGCAAAGGUCUAGCAUCCAUUAAGCCUUUUUUUUCAACUUUUGACCUCGGAUCAGGUAGGGAUACCCGCUGAACUUAAGCAUAUCAAUAAGCGGAGGAA
rnacentral:rRNA from 1 species